UUGACCCUUUUCUGUUUCCCAAUUCAGGACAGAUAUCCUGAGUAUAAACAGACACAUUUUUCUUGUCCGCAGGGUUUUGUACCAAACACAGGAAUUGCGAGUUACGUGACUGUGGCUGCAGAGAGAUCCGGACUGUGCGCCCUUUAUUAUACACUGUGUGAUUAAAGGGACAGUACUCAGUGUCUGUUUGUCUGCACUGCCAGCUGACGGACAGUGUGGAGGUGAUUGUAGGAACGGAGCAAUGGAGAGUAAAAUUACACCAGAUGGUGGAGUUUAUCAAUU